UACGUAGGUGGCAAGCGUUGUCCGGAAUUACUGGGCGUAAAGCGCACGUAGGCGGAUUGGAAAGUUGGGGGUGAAAUCCCGGGGCUCAACCCCGGAACUGCCUUCAAAACUCCCAGUCUGGAGGUCGAGAGAGGUGAGUGGAAUUCCGAGUGUAGAGGUGAAAUUCGUAGAUAUUCGGAGGAACACCAGUGGCGAAGGCGGCUCACUGGCUCGAUACUGACGCUGAGGUGCGAAAGCGUGGGGAGCAAACAGG
rnacentral:rRNA from 1 species